UACGUAGGGUGCAAGCGUUGUCCGGAAUUAUUGGGCGUAAGGGGCUCGUAGGCGGUCCAUCGCGUCGGGAGUGAAAAGCUGGGGCUUAACCCCAGUCCUGCUUCCGAUACGGGUGGACUAGAGGUAGGUAGGGGAGAACGGAAUUCCUGGUGUAGCGGUGAAAUGCGCAGAUAUCAGGAGGAACACCGGUGGCGAAGGCGGUUCUCUGGGCCUUACCUGACGCUGAGGAGCGAAAGCAUGGGGAGCAAACAGG
rnacentral:rRNA from 1 species